GAUGAACGCUAGCUACAGGCUUAACACAUGCAAGUCGAGGGGAAACGAUAUUGGAAGCUUGCUUCUGAUAGGCGUCGACCGGCGCACGGGUGAGUAACGCGUAUCCAACCUGCCCAUCACUUGGGGAUAACCUUGUGAAAGUAAGACUAAUACCCAAUGACGUCUCUAGAAGACAUCUGAAAGAGAUUAAAGAUUUAUCGGUGAUGGAUGGGGAUGCGUCUGAUUAGCUUGUUGGCGGGGUAACGGCCCACCAAGGCGACGAUCAGUAGCCGGCCUGAGAGGGUGAACGGCCACAUUGGGACUGAGACACGGCCCAAACUCCUACGGGAGGCAGCAGUGGGGAAUAUUGCACAAUGGGGGAAACCCUGAUGCAGCGACGCCGCGUGAGUGAAGAAGUAUUUCGGUAUGUAAAACUCUAUCAGCAGGGAGGAUAAUGACGGUACCUGACUAAGAAGCACCGGCUAAAUACGUGCCAGCAGCCGCGG
rnacentral:rRNA from 1 species